UACGUAGGGUGCAAGCGUUGUCCGGAAUUAUUGGGCGUAAAGGGCGCGUAGGCGGUUUGACAAGUCUGAUGUGAAAUCUCUGGGCUCAACCCAGAGUCUGCAUUAGAAACUGUCGGGCUUGAGUAUGGGAGAGGUGAGUGGAAUUUCCGGUGUAGCGGUGAAAUGCGCAGAUAUCAGGAAGAACACCCGUGGCGAAGGCGGCUCUCUGGGACGGUACUGACGCUGAGACGCGAAAGCGUGGGGAGCGAACAGG
rnacentral:rRNA from 1 species